rnacentral:rRNA from 1 species
CCGAACGCGACCUCAGAUCAGACGAGACGACCCGCUGAAUUUAAGCAUAUUACUA